GUGUGUCUUUAUUACUAUAAUUAGUCACUGGAACCUUUUGGCUUUUAUAAGAUCCCUCCUUCUGGAAGCAUAUGAAACUUUAAAGUGAGUGUGGUUUUCAGCAAGCACAGUUUUCAUGGAAGGUACUAAACAGGAUUAACGCAGUAGGUGUUAGUUUGUAUUUUCUUCAGAAUAAAGAUACAGUCAACAUAGAAAACUUAGGGAAGACCAAGAAUAAAAAUGAAUCAGUCCUGCAACAUUAUUGAGGGAGACAUCAAGAGAACAACAAAAAUGUGGUACAUAACCAUUGAAGCUAUGCCUGUCCUUCAAAACCAUCAUACUAUUUUGCUAAUACAUAUUUCCAUGUGACGAGAUAUGGAAUUAAAAAUUAUGUUCUUUUCUAUUUUCAUACAUGAUUAAAGUAGGUUAAUUACACUAUAAACAAGAUAGGUAGAACACAUAGAAUGUAUCAUUGGGCAAUGUCCUGUUUCUUUCCUAUAACAUGAUGGAUUGGUGUUUUUUCUUUCUCAGUGGGUUUGGUGUUUGUUUGCUUUUUUUUUUUUUUUUUUUGUAAUGGAGAUAAGAAUUCAUUCAAUGAGCCAUUUGCUAAAAUGACUUGUAAAAUGAACUGCACAGACACAUGGUGAACUAGAGCAUGGUCAAAUCUUGUUUGCUUUACACAAGACUAGACACAAUGGGACUCGUUGUGAUAGGAUUACUCAUGAGUAAGAGUUUGUAGGUUCUGGUCCCAUCUGAGUGAUGGGAAUGGGAUUUGGAACCCAAUCCUUAUGAAUUAGGACUACUCAAGUGAGCAAAAGUCUGCAUUAUCUGGCUAUUAGUUAGUAGUUUAGAAAUAAUUCAUUUUAGAGAGACAAGAUGUGAUGAAGUGGGGUUUCCUCCUUGUUAUAUUGUAUGCGAGUCUAUGUGAGCUUUACUGUUUUGCAUGAAUACUGUGUGUACUCAGUUUCCCAGUGUCCCGGUGUAUUACACCAAUGCCUAGGUGGUGGGAAUAAGGAUAUGUGACUUUUGCUGAGGCCCUCAGGGGGCAGGCUGCUCCAGCUGCCUGCACGUAAGCAAUGGAUGGUGCCCUUCAUAACCUGAGAACCAGGAGGGAGAUGCGACCAGGUGACAUCUUGCCCGGGAAACAAGACAAAGACCAGGAGGAGGGGCAAUGGGCUUAUCGGAGGUCAGGUUGCUGGAAGCUGGGCAGUUGGCUGCUGAGGACUCAAAGGCGGGGAAUCUAGGGCAUCAAGCCUGGGGCCCCCCCAAGAUGGACUUUGCUAAAAGUCACUGAUUUCUGGGCUAACAAGAUCUGUUCUACGCUGUGUCCCUGUCAACUAAUAAACCUUCUGUUUUACUAGCUGGCUGAGGGUCACUGCUGACUGCGAAGUUGGAGUGCAGGCCCUCUGGCUUCCCCAGGAGCCCUGCCAGAG